CCUACGGGAGGCAGCAGUAGGGAAUAUUGCUCAAUGGGGGAAACCCUGAAGCAGCAACGCCGCGUGGAGGAUGAAGGUUUUCGGAUUGUAAACUCCUUUUGUUAGAGAAGAUAAUGACGGUAUCUAACGAAUAAGCACCGGCUAACUCCGUGCCAGCAGCCGCGGUAAUACGGAGGGUGCAAGCGUUACUCGGAAUCACUGGGCGUAAAGAGCGCGUAGGCGGGAUAGCAAGUCAGAUGUUAAAUCCUAUGGCUUAACCAUAGAACUGCAUUUGAAACUGUUAUUCUAGAGUAUGGGAGAGGUAGGUGGAAUUCUUGGUGUAGGGGUAAAAUGCGUAGAGAUCAAGAGGAAUACUCAUUGCGAAGGCGACCUGCUAGAACAUAACUGACGCUGAUGCGCGAAAGCGUGGGGAGCAAACAGGAUUAGAUACCCUAGUAGUC
rnacentral:rRNA from 1 species